rnacentral:misc_RNA from 1 species
UUUCCGUAGGUGAACCUGCGGAAGGAUCAUUAAAGAAAUGAUUGGGGGAGCCCGCCUGCGCUUAGCUGCGCGGUGGCGCUCCGCCUCUUACACACAGUGGAGUAAUUACUUAUUCUUGGGCUGGGCGAAAGUCCAGCUCGCCAAACACAAACAACUAUUUUCUAUUAUACAGUGUCAUCAAAUCUGCUUACGCAGUAACCAAAAUAUUCAAAACUUUCAACAACGGAUCUCUUGGUUCUC